rnacentral:rRNA from 1 species
AUAUUGUACAAUGGGCGAAAGCCUGAUGCAGCAACGCCGCGUGAGUGAUGAAGGCCUUCGGGUCGUAAAGCUCUUUGAUCAGGGAGGAUAAUGACAGUACCUGAACAACAAGCCACGGCUCAGUACGUGCCAGCCGCCGCGGUAAUACGUAGGUGGCGAGCGUUGUCCGGAAUUACUGGGCGUAAAGGAUGCGUAGGUGGAUACUUAAGUGGGGUGUGAAAUCCCCGGGCUCAACCCGGGAACUGCAUUCCAAACUGAGUAUCUAGAGUGCAGGAGAGGAAAGCGGAAUUCCUAGUGUAGCGGUGAAAUGCGUAGAUAUUAGGAGGAACACCAGUGGCGAAGGCGGAUUUCUGGACUGUAACUGACAAUGAGGCAUGAAAGCGUGGGUAGCAAACAGG